rnacentral:lncRNA from 1 species
AUACCAUUUCUCACGAUCCACGGUACUAUUAUGUAGAUCGGAUGCAAUCAGAUGGUUGAGAUCCGAUCUAGCAUGCAAUCGGACAGUGCAGAUGGCUAGCGAGCAUGAUCUGGUUCUAAUGGAGCUUGAUCGAGAGCGAUCAAGCAGUUGAGAAGAUUUGCGGUACUGAUCGGAUGGCCAUGAUGAAGCGAAAUUCAGUGCAGAGAUAAAAUGGUAAUUUUAAAACUUUUUCAAAAUUAUGAUUUUAUAGUGGAAAAUUAUUAAUUAAUCUAAUUAAUU